rnacentral:rRNA from 1 species
GUGGCGAACGGGUGAGUAACACGUAGGUAACCUACCCCUAAGACGAGGAUAACAGUUGGAAACGACUGCUAAGACUGGAUAGUAGUAGAGAAGGCAUCUUCUCUACUUUAAAAGACCUUCGGGUCUGCUUAGGGAGGGGCCUGCGGCGCAUUAGUUAGUUGGUGAGGUAACGGCUCACCAAGACGAUGAUGCGUAGCCGGACUGAGAGGUUGAACGGCCACACUGGGACUGAGACACGGCCCAGACUCCUACGGGAGGCAGCAGUAGGGAAUUUUCGGCAAUGGGGGCAACCCUGACCGAGCAACGCCGCGUGAAUGAAGAAGUACUUCGGUACGUAAAAUUCUUUUAUUAGGGAAGAAUGGCUAUUGUAGGAAAUGACAGUAGAAUGACGGUACCUAAUGAAUAAGCCCCGGCUAACUAUGUGCCAGCAGCCGCGGUAAUACAUAGGGGGCGAGCGUUAUCCGGAAUUAUUGGGCGUAAAGGGUGCGUAGGCGGCCAUUUAAGUCUGGGGUGUAAGUGCAGU